CCGUGAGGUGUUGGUUAAGUCCCGCAACGAGCGCAACCCUUUCUUCAGUGCCAACGGGUAAUGCCGGAACUCUGAAGAAACUGCCGUCGUAAGACGCGAGGAAGGAGGGGAUGAUGUCAGGUCAUCAUGGCCUUUAUGCCCAGGGCUACACACGUGCUACAAUGGGGAGGACAAAGGGCUGCUACCUGGCAACAGGAUGCUAAUCUCGAAAACCUCUUCUCAGUUCAGAUUGUAGUCUGCAACUCGACUACAUGAAGCUGGAAUCGCUAGUAAUCGCGCAUCAGCAAUGGCGCGGUGAAUACGUUCCCGGACCUUGUACACACCGCCCGUCAAGCCAUGGAAGCCGGGUGUACCUAAAGUCGGUAACCGCAAGGAGCCGCCUAGGGUAAAACUGGUAACUGGGGCUAAGUCGUAACAAGGUAGCCGUAA
rnacentral:rRNA from 1 species